ACUAGUCUGGUGAGUGUUCCCGUGCUCAAGGAGCACAACAUUAAUUAGCAAAUGAAGAAGGUCCUGAGAAAGAGGCUGCGAAAGAAAACCUACUCAACGUGAAGAUGAUGAGAAUGAAGACCUUUAUGAUGAUCUGCUUCCACUUAAAGAAUAGUAUUUGGCUGACUCCUGGACUAUGCAAGCACAAGAAGAGAUUUCAGAAGGUUUGGAAGAGAGUCUCUUCUGAGAGGCUGAGGGCUAAGAAGACUGCCCUGUGCAGGAAAGAUGUUGGAGUGCAAGCCCAUCUGGAAUGGAGAGACCUCGAUGAAACACAUAGGCAAUUAAUUAGAUCCCAGAAAGGCCACACUGUGCAAGUUGGUGAUACUCAACUGGUGAGACACCAAAUCAGCUGUAAAAACAGUUGCAAGUGAUGGUCAGUGGGACAAGGCAACGGGAAACAAUAUCUGAUGGGGCAACUCCAUCAAAUACAACAGUUCAUCAGACAGUGACGAUACAACCUAAAUGUAGAGC
rnacentral:lncRNA from 1 species